GACGAACGCUGGCGGCGCGCCUAACACAUGCAAGUCGAACGGAGCUGAGAGAAGCUUGCUUUUCUUAGCUUAGUGGCGAACGGGUGAGUAACGCGUGAGUAACCUGCCCUGGAGUGGGGGACAACAGUUGGAAACGACUGCUAAUACCGCAUAAGCCCACGAUCCGGCAUCGGAUUGAGGGAAAAGGAUUUAUUCGCUUCAGGAUGGACUCGCGUCCAAUUAGCUAGUUGGUGAGGUAACGGCCCACCAAGGCGACGAUUGGUAGCCGGACUGAGAGGUUGAACGGCCACAUUGGGACUGAGACACGGCCCAGACUCCUACGGGAGGCAGCAGUGGGGGAUAUUGCACAAUGGGGGAAACCCUGAUGCAGCGACGCCGCGUGAGGAAGAAGGUUUUCGGAUUGUAAACUCCUGUCGUUAGGGACGAUAAUGACGGUACCUAACAAGAAAGCACCGGCUAACUACGUG
rnacentral:rRNA from 1 species